AUAAGCGGAGGAAAAGAAACCAACAAUUGCCCUAGUAACGGCGAGUGAAGCGGCAACAGCUCAAAUUUGAAAUCUGGCUCUAGGGCCCGAGUUGUAAUUUGUAGAGGAUACUUUUGGUGAGGUGCCUUCCGAGUUCCCUGGAACGGGACGCCAUAGAGGGUGAGAGCCCCGUCUGGUUGGAUACCGAGCCUCUGUAAAGUUCCUUCGACGAGUCGAGUAGUUUGGGAAUGCUGCUCUAAAUGGGAGGUAUAUGUCUUCUAAAGCUAAAUAUUGGCCAGAGACCGAUAGCGCACAAGUAGAGUGAUCGAAAGAUGAAAAGCACUUUGAAAAGAGAGUUAAAAAGCACGUGAAAUUGUUGAAAGGGAAGCGCUUGUGACCAGACUUGGGCUUGGUUAAUCAUCCGGCGUUCUCGCCGGUGCACUUUUCCAGCUCAGGCCAGCAUCAGUUUGCUUCGGGGGAUAAAAGUUUCGGGAAUGUGGCUCCUUCGGGAGUGUUAUAGCCCGUUGCAUAAUACCCUGGAGCGGACUGAGGUUCGCGCAUCUGCAAGGAUGCUGGCAUAAUGGUCAUCAGCGACCCGUCUUGAAACACGGACCAAGGAGUCGUCUUCGUAUGCGAGUGUUCGGGUGUCAAACCCCUACGCGUAAUGAAAGUGAACGCAGGUGAGAGCUUCGGCGCAUCAUCGACCGAUCCUGAUGUUCUCGGAUGGAUUUGAGUAAGAGCAUACGGGGCCGGACCCGAAAGAAGGUGAACUAUGCCUGUAUAGGGUGAAGCCAGAGGAAACUCUGGUGGAGGCUCGCAGCGGUUCUGACGUGCAAAUCGAUCGUCAAAUAUGGGCAUGGGGGCGAAAGACUAAUCGAACCUUCUAGUAGCUGGUUUCCGCCGAAGUUUCCCUCAGGAUAGCAGUGUUGAACUCAGUUUUAUGAGGUAAAGCGAAUGAUUAGGGACUCGGGGGCGCUAUUUAGCCUUCAUCCAUUCUCAAACUUUAAAUAUGUAAGAAG
rnacentral:rRNA from 1 species